rnacentral:lncRNA from 1 species
AUUUAGCAUUCAGCAUUUAAAAGGGUUGAUCACUAAUGUCGUUUCCUACUGCCGUAGCUAGUUUUGUUAAUCAGACUCCAUUAAUUGUCGGAAACGGGUAUAUCUAAAGUUUUAACAUGUACUUGGAAGGUCCUUGAAAGGAAAAACUUUAUACCAUGUCCAACUAAAAAACUAUAUAAACUAGCUUAAAGAUAGGUUAGCACCAAUUUUUGCCAUGCAUCAACCAAGAUUUCCAACCUUAAGAAUCUUUUGACAUGGCACCUCAACUGGACAUAAAUUGCUCCCCCCAAAGAAAAAGGCAAACAAAUUUUAGUCUAUGAUGUUUCUCAACUAAACCUUAUAUAGGGAUGGACUUUAGCAUUCAGCAUUUAAAAGGGUUGAUCACUAGUGUCGUUUCCUAUUGCUGUAGCUAGUUUUGUUAAUCAGACUCCAUUAAUUGUCGGAAACGGGUAUAUCUAAAGUUUUAACAUGUACUUGGAAGGUCCUUGAAAGGAAAAACUUUAUAGCAUGUCCAACUAAAAAACUAUAUAAACUAGCUUAAAGAUAGGUUAGCACCAAUUUUUGCUAAGCAUCAACCAAGAUUUCCAACCUUAAGAAUCUUUUGACAUGGCACCUCAACUGGACAUAAAUUGCUGCCCCCAAAGAAAAAGGCAAGCAAAUUUU